GGGGACCAAUGUGAGUCAGUCUCUGCCCAGUGGUCUGACGAUUAUCGUCUCUUAGGUUUUUCCUGGCUUAUAAAGGAGGCAGAGGACCGACACAGGUUCACGGGGCUGCUUGCUGAUCCAUGAUUCUUUCCCGUGUGUGACUAAUCUUGAUUUGUGUUUUGUUUUAAUUGUUAUGGAUCUAGCACUUCCGAACCAGGAUUACCUCAGGAAGGGUGAGCUGGAAUACGAGAUCACCAUACGGAAGAGACUGCACCAACAACAGCUGAAGGUCCCCGGCCUCAGGAAAUAUUUACGUGAAUUACCAGGCAGCGAGAUUCACAUCUUGGCCAUGGAUUCCAUCGAACCACUGGGACUCGUGACCUAGCUAACAGGAAAGUUUUAGACCAGGCCAAUACUUCCUCCCUAGAAGAAUUGUCUGAGGGCGUUUCCCACUUAAUGCCGUCAAUAGAAGAGUUUCUUAUUCAUCUCAUCAAGCCUUCGC